UGUGUGCACUUCUCAAAAGAA
rnacentral:piRNA from 1 species